GCGGCUACUGCUAUCAGGUUUCGACUAAGCCAUGCGAGUCAAGGGGUCGUAAGACACCGGCGUACUGCUCAGUAACACGCGGACAAUCUACCCCCAGGUGGAGGAUAACCUCGGGAAACUGAGGCUAAUACCCCAUAGUUGUCAUGUGCUGGAAUGCUUUGACGAUGAAAGAAUUUCGCCUGAGGAUGAGUCUGCGGCCUAUCAGGUAGUAUGUGGUGUAAAGGACCACAUAGCCUAAGACGGGUACGGGCCUUGAAAGAGGGAGCCCGGAGAUGGACUCUGAGACACUAGUCCAGGCCCUACGGGGCGCAGCAGGCGCGAAAACUGUGCAAUGCGCGCAAGCGCGACACGGGAAGCCUGAGUGCCUUAACUAUGUUAAGGCUUUUCUUGAUCCUAAAAAGCUCAAGGAAUAAGAGCUGGGUAAGACGGGUGCCAGCCGCCGCGGUAACACCCGCGGCUCGAGUGGUAGUCACUUUUAUUGAGCCUAAAGCGUUUGUAGCCGGAUUUGUAAAUCUCUAGGAAAAUACUUCUGCUUAACUGAAGAAAUCUUGGAGAGACUGCAAAUCUAGGGACCGGGUGAGGUUGAAUGUACUUCUGGGGUAGGGGUAAAAUCCUGUAAUCCUGGAAGGACGACCGGUGGCGAAGGCGUUCAACUAGAACGGAUCCGACGGUGAGGAACGAAGGCUAGGGGAGCAAACCGGAUUAGAUACCCGGGUAGUCCUAGCUGUAAACACUGCCCACUUGGUGUUGCAUCUCCGGUAAGGAGGUGCAGUGCCGUAGCGAAGGUGUUAAGUGGGCCGCUUGGGGAGUAUGGUCGCAAGGCUGAAACUUAA
rnacentral:rRNA from 1 species